CCUGACUUGUGGCUUGAAUACACGGCUUUUCUCUGGCUGCCCCACUCAGUGCAUUCACCACUGUCACACUCUGCACAUCAGACCACGCUGCCACUGCCACAGCCACAGCCUUUGUGUGCACUGUUGCCUAGUGAUGGCACGAGGAAAAGCACAAUGCGAGUGUGUGCAUAUCUUUGCAUGUUUGUGUGUCUUUUCUUUGGGUUACUCAAUAUCCUGUUUUAGUUUAUACAGAGCAGGCAUGCGGAUAUUGUUAUAAUUGGAACCAGUAUUUUAUUAGACAGUUAAAUGAGCGGCGGUAUGAAUCACCAAAAUAAAUACACACAGAUGAAAAGAAUCAUGGCUAAAUUUGAGCGUACUCAACCAGACAGGAAACACAGAAACACUUGACUUGCUUCCCUCAAUCAUGGGACAGGACGUGUGUACUAGAAACACAAGGAAGAUUUUAGUGAUUCUGUUGCAAACAAUGGAAGAAAGCGAGAUUGGCAGAGGGACAGGAGCAUUGAACAAUUGAUCAUGUCUGCAUUUGCCCUAUAGAGAGCGAGUGGGUGGACAGGGUGCUCAUGGGAGACUACGGGAUCAGACUACUGUCAGCUGGUAGCAGGAUGAUUAAAGGAGCACACACAUGGAAAAGACAUUUUGCUUGGAGUCGUUUCCCAGUGAGAUUGGAAGCUGGGCUGUGUGGAAGUCUCCACCUCAGCCACAUGGCCUGGCAGGGUUCCUCUUUUGGACACUGGCAGCAGCUUGUGCCCCACACCCCUCCCAGAUGUUGUGUCUUGAGACAGAUGUGCACCCCAGCUCAAUAUCCAAGGAUUCUAGGUAAGUAUGUGGUUAAGGCGGGAGAUGUCUUAUACUGGCGGAUAAAAGGGAGGAACGUGCCAACACGACAGCCCACCUGGCAUCCAAACAGUCGCUAAGGAACGCUGACAGAAGGAGAGCUUGUAUAUAUUGAAGGAUUUGUAUCAACUGUAGGAACGCCACAAUAUUUGCAGAACGUGAAAUGAGUAAUUAAAUUAAUGGAUUCAUUUACAGUAAGAAAUAGUUUCUUGAGACUUCUGAAAGAUCAUGUGAAACUGAAGACUGGUGUAAUGGCAAAGCUGAAUAUUCAGCAGCCAUCACUAGAAUAAAAUUACAUUUUAUAUUCA
ensembl:lncRNA